rnacentral:rRNA from 1 species
AACGCGAAGAACCUUACCUGGGCUCGAAAUGUAGUGGAAUCCGGUGGAAACAUCGGCGCCCAGCAAUGGGCCGCUAUAUAGGUGCUGCAUGGCUGUCGUCAGCUCGUGUCGUGAGAUGUUGGGUUAAGUCCCGCAACGAGCGCAACCCUUGUUACCAGUUGCUACCAUUUAGUUGAGCACUCUGGUGAGACCGCCUCGGAUAACGGGGAGGAAGGCGGGGAUGACGUCAAGUCCUCAUGGCCUUUAUGUCCAGGGCUACACACGUGCUACAAUGGCCGGUACAAACCGUCGCAAACCCGUGAGGGGGAGCUAAUCGGAAAAAGCCGGCCUCAGUUCGGAUUGGAGUCUGCAACUCGACUCCAUGAAGCUGGAAUCGCUAGUAAUCGCGGAUCAGAACGCCGCGGUGAAUACGUUCCCGGGCCUUGUA